CAUGUCCUUUAGAUUAAAAUUUAAGGUUUGGUCUGCUCAAUGAGGUUUUAAAUUGCCGCAGUAUUUUAACUGUGCGAAGGUAGCAUAAUAAUUAGUUUCUUAAUUGGAAGCUGGAAUGAAUGAUUGGACGAGAAAAUUACUGUCUCUUGAGAAGGGUUUAUUUAAUUUUAUUAUUAAGUUAAAAAGCUUAAAUUUAAAUAAAAGACGAGAAGACCCUAUAGAGUUUAAUAUUUAAGACUUAUUAAUUUUUAGUAAAUUUAUUUAGUUUUAAUUAUUUAGUUGGGGUGACUUAAAGAUUAAAUUAAUUCUUUAAAUAUUUAAUUGUUGAUAAGUAAUUUUUAAAUCUAGUUUUUUAAAUUUAAAAUAAAUUACCUUAGGGAUAACAGCGUAAUUUUUCUUUAAAGCUCUUAUUGAAAGAAGAUUUUGCGACCUCGAUGUUGGAUUAAAAUUAAUUUUUGGUGUAGUCACUAAAAAAUUGAGUCUGUUCGACUUUUAAAAUUUUACAUGAUCUGAGUUUAAACCGGUGUAAGCCAGGUUGGAUUCUAUCUUUAUUAAUUUUUUAUGUUAUAGUACGAAAGGACCUAAUAUAUAUUAUAGAAUAAUUA
rnacentral:rRNA from 1 species